UAUAGAUGGAGAGAGAGAGAGUUGUUUACCUAUGAAUUUUUUUAAUCCACUUUCAAGAGCCAGCUUCUUACAAGUUUAAUGAAGUCAAACUGAUUUUUGCAUUUCGUAACAGAUACUUAACAGAGUUGAGUAUCUUAUAGUAAGGUGCAGGUACCUGAAAAGUGCACUUUAGCAUUUAUAUGACUAAUAUUGUCUUAAAGGACCACUAUAGUGCCAGGAAAACAUACUCGUUUUCCUGGCACUAUAGUGCCCUGAGGGUUUCCCCACCCUCAGGGACCCCCUCCCGCCUGGCUCCUCCCUUUCGGCUGAAUGCGCAUGCGCGGCAAGAGCUGCGUGUGCAUUCAGCCGGUCUCAUAGGAAAGCAUUCAUAAUGCUUUCCUAUGGACGCUUGCGUGUUCUCACUGUGAUUUUCACAGUGAGAAUCACGCAAGCGCCUCUAGCGGCUGUCAAUGAGACAGCCACUAGUGGAUUUGGAGGAUGGAUUAACCCAUUUAUAAACAUAGCAGUUUCUCUGAAACUGCUAUGUUUAUAAAAAAAAAUGGGUUAAUCCUAGCUGGACCUGGCACCCAGACCACUUCAUUAAGCUGAAGUGGUCUGGGUGCCUAGAGUGGUCCUUUAACUGUGAACCAAGCAGACUGAAAUGAACUCCUGCGUUUGCAUUGUCCUCCAUAUAUAAACCACUAAAAUGUUUUGGUAAACAUUAAAACCUAAACCACUAAGUAAGGGGGAAGGGGGGGGAGGGAGGGGGGUUGCUUCUCAACAAAAAUGGCUAACGGAGGUCAGGACACAGGUAGCUCAUAAUUAAUCUAUGCUGUUUUGACUGCCAUUAUAGCUCAUAGUUAUAAGAUGGAAAUCUGCAUAUACCAUGUUAAACUCCUGCAAACUUCAUUAUUAUUUUUGAUUUAGCAUUUAGAUUCCCUAAUUAAAGUUUUUCUAAUUACUGGAAUUGUCAGUUAUUGGUCCAGCCUUCAAACAUAUAGCCUAUUGUUUUGCAUUUCCUGUAAAUAUAUCAUACAUUCUUCUAUUUAAUGUUGACAAUUAAAAGGGACGUUCUGGGCACCAUGACAACUGAAGUGCCUUUGUUUGAUUUUGGUCUUAUUCAUGCUGUAUUUUUUCUCACAUUCAAAUGUUGCCACUUCUGCCCUUUUCACUAGACGUGCAAUUCGGAUGCUUCCGAAUGUCUGAACUGCCGAAUUUCGGAAGUGCCGAACCGCAUGGCCAAAGUGCCGAAUUUCGGAAGUGCUUCGGAUUUCUGAAAAGUGGCAAAAAAAGUGAGAGAGGCAAAAUUAUGUGAAUGAAGUUAGGGUUAAGGUAGGGGUAGGGUUAGGGAGCCCUACAGAUCUUCAGAAGUGCCGAACCGAAUUGCUGAAGUUCUGAAUUGCCAAAGUCCCGAAUUGCGGAAGUGCCAAAGUGCUGAAUUUGUUUUCUUACCCGAAUUUCAGAACCAAAUUUUUGGAUCAUGCACAUCCCUACUUUUCACACUACGUCUUACUGACUGGAAGUAGACCACAUAAAUGUGCAGCCUAGCCAACAAGCAAUCAGUAUGUGCUGAGCUGCUAAGAAUAAGCAAUGUGGCUGAGGGACUGGGUUUAUACUGCAGAACUUUGAAUGUGGAAAAAAAAUACAUA
rnacentral:lncRNA from 1 species